rnacentral:rRNA from 1 species
GGGGAAUAUUGCGCAAUGGACGAAAGUCUGACGCAGCGACGCCGCGUGUGGGAUGAAGCCUUUCGGGGCGUAAACCACUGUUGCCCGGGACGAACAUCCCCUUUCGAGGGGACUGACGGUACCGGGUGAGGAAGCACCGGCUAACUCUGUGCCAGCAGCCGCGGUAAUACAGAGGGUGCGAGCGUUGUCCGGAAUCACUGGGCGUAAAGGGCGCGUAGGUGGCUUGGUAAGCGUGUGGUGAAAGGCCGGGGCUCAGCCCCGGAUCUGCCGUGCGAACUGCUGAGCUCGAGCGAUGUAGAGGCAGGUGGAAUUUCGGGUGUAGCGGUGGAAUGCGUAGAUAUCCGAAAGAACACCAGUGGCGAAGGCGGCCUGCUGGGCAUCAGCUGACACUGAGGCGCGACAGCGUGGGGAGCAAAC